AUUAGAACCAGCGACCUUUUGGUUACUGGCACAACGCUCUUAACCACUAAGCUACCUGCCGCCCUUCUACUGCUGGGUGGAAAUCUGCACAGAGGAGGCAGAGUGUAAACAACGCUGCUCCAUCACCUGUGAGUGUUUCAGGUCCCUAUGUUUUACAUUCACCUUAACGCUGUGAAUUGGGUAAUUUCAUCCAAUAGUCAUGCUGUCUCAUCCUCCUCCAUCCAGCACCUGAUGGUGAGAGGGCGAGGAGGGAGUCUGGGUCAGAUCGAGUCUCCCAGUUAGUCUCAUUUGGUCCUGUGCUGUUGGGUCAGAACAGUUCUGGACAGGAACAGGAAGGGAAUCAUAGUGAUCAUCUGAAUAUAGCAUUUCAGGUGUCAAUGUACUCUGUACCUCCAUCCUGUUCUCUUCAUGGUCGAUGAGUUGUCAAGUGGAAGAAAAUGACGUGGAAAUGGAAACCAGAAACAAGGAGACUGGCCUACAGGUUGAACAAGCCCAAUAAAGCACUUCUAUGCACA